AACGUAGGUCUGCGGGCCGCGGGUUCUUGAAAUAUGAGUUACGGUGUUUUUACAUGUAUUUUAAAUUAUUUUGCGCAUAGUUUUUUUCAUCAUAUAAAUCAGACUUGAGUUGUGAAUUUCUUAUCAAAGUUGAAUAGAGAAUCCAUUUUAAAGUAGAAAGUCGAACCGCCUUUCGCACUAGAAAGCAAAUUGCAUAUUCUUGUUAUAAGACGAAUACAAUUUAUUUGCGGGCCAUGUUAACUGGAACAAGAUUUUCAUUUGACUUUCACCCUAAUUCCUUCAUUCUUCUUAAACUCACUUACUCUUGGUCUGCGAAGCGGGUUACGAUGCUCUUUAGUGAGCUGAUCUCGUCUUUGCGGACCUUGGUAAUGAGGUCUCUGUAUAGCAACUUGUCGGAAGAGGAUAAAUUACAAAACCAAUCUAACAUUCAAAGAAACUCUGGCGCGGUGUUAACUCACUCAGAAGUUGCACAUUCUAAUAUCUAGUGCAAUUAUCACUAAAAUGUCCUCUUUCUUCAUGCCAUCUUGAUAAAUUUAUUGUUAAAAUAUUAGUCAACUUCCUUUGACUUUCGCUUUAAAAUUCAUCGUUCUUCCUAAACUCACCUACUCUUGGUUAGCGAUGCGGGUGAUGAUGCUCUUUAGUGACCUGAACUUGUCUUAGAUUGCCCGGGUAUGUGGCUUCUAUGUUGUUAUGUGGGUAUAUGGUUUAACAUCCACCGGCAUUUAGCCGGAGGUCAAGAAUAAAAGCAAUUUUUUUGAGAUAUAUAAAUUGUACAUGUCUAAAGUUUUGUGAUUUCAUAGAAUUAAAAAUCAUAUAGCUA